CUCCCUUCCCCCUCCCACACGACUUCCUCGCUUGACGGCUGUGGCGGUUUGGCGGGGGGCAGCGGUGUCGGAGGUUUGUCCUAUGGUGCUCUGCUGUGGCACAGCUGAGGGGUUUAUGAACCGCCUCCUUGUGAGCUGAAGAGGUACUUUCAACCAAAUGGUUAACAUCAAAAGUGACAACUCAUGUUGAGUGGGCACCUGAAGACUUCUGGGUCCUACAGUUCUACAGUGUGGUCUACUGUAUAUCAUACAGUCUUUCAGUCAUUCUGAGCACAGCAAUCACUGACACCUCUUUGCAGCUACAUGUACCCAAAGCUUUUGUGAAUUCAGAGAAUGGAUUUUCUGUACCCCAGAGGAGGAAAAUUCACUGGCCAUCUUCAGAAAUUGGAUUUGAGUGACUUCCUCAAUUCCACAAAUAAUUCAGCAAGAAUAUGAUCUAUUCUGUCUACAAUCACUUACAUUCAUUCCUUCUAUAACUUCCAGGCUUUGUUGCAACAAAUCAGGCAGAGUUCUGAUGAGAAAACAGUCCCAUUGACUACAUUCAUGUGAAAAAUGAGGGUGUUACAUUUUUUACCUUUACAAAUACAAGAUACAGGUCACUUUAUUUUGUUUGCAUUCUUCUACAUGAUUAAAAAGAGUUACAUUGAAGGAUACUGUAAAAGAAGGUGCAAAUAGAAAACAAUUCCAUCACAAAGAAGGAUGAAAUGCAGUCCAGGAAAGCACAAAUAACUCUUGAAGUUACAGGGGGGAAGCUGCUAAAAAGGAACGCCCUUACCUGUUUCCAGUGACAAAGACGGGGUGUUUAUUGUUCUUAUGCCUGAGAUGACUCAAAAUGGGCACUAAAACUGUAAAAGUUACUGCCCUAAGGAAGGGGGUUUGUGGAGUCAACAACAGCUGGACAUGCCUGUGGCAUCUCAUAAGCGGCCUCUCCCAAACUGGAGAGGGGAAAAACUAGAAUGGAGAGAACCUGCAAAAAUCCUGGAAAGAUGACAGGAGAGUUACGGUUCUGGUGUCAAAACUUUGCUUUCUCUGCUGCCUAUCUCUGAGAGAAUAAAGCUUUGCUUUGAAGGAGCUGCCACUGAGUCAGUUUAGUUAGCUAGUGUCACAGAACAAACUGUUGCAAAAUAGGGAUUUUCAGCUCGUGAACACAGUCUAAAAAAUGACAGAAAGCAAUGGCAUGUUUCUGUGCAGAAAGACUAAGUUAAUGAAAAUUGCCGGAGGGAUGCACUUAAGAGGAGCUACCAAGGCACCUCAUCCUGUAAUGGUGACAAGUUCCUUGAUUCAUUUCCUGAGCCCUAUCCAUUCUUGCACUUAAUGUGAUGGGAAGCUAUGUAUUCUCCACGGAGGCUGGCUGCACAUUUCUUCUGAAGUAAACUUUGCGGAAGUCACCGGUGCCUUUGUUACCUCCACCUGGGCUUCUGUACUUUUCUAUUUAUGAGUCCCCUUUGAAGCGUGCCUGAAAGAUCCAGUUCCCAAGAAAGCUACUACCCACUCCCUGAGCAGUGCCGCACAGCACGAGCAAGCUGCACCAGAGACUCGGCACUGGCUUGCUGUUUACUGAUCAACUUUAAAGCCCAGAGCACUCAAGGAAAAGGUUUUCUAAGGGGCUCCUCUCCCUCUGUGCCCACUCGCUGCCUUGCUACCAGGUGGAGAGUAAUGUCUGUCUGGGAACCAAGUCUCAAUAUGUGAAAGUCAACCUGGAUGAUAAAGAAAAUGGUUUUAAAAUUUGAGUUAGAAAGCCCGGGUUAAACAAAAUCAUUUGAAUCCAUCCUUGUAAUUCUGUGUCUGAACAAAAUAAUGUAUUUUAAGUAGCACAGACUAAAUGGCUUUGGGGAAAUUAAAACAAGAUAAACAAA